rnacentral:lncRNA from 1 species
CUUAAAAAAAAUAAAAAUACAAUGAUGUUUAAAAAAUAUGCUUAAUUGCAUGUUGAUUCCUUAUGUUUAUUUUAGUUUCCAAGUUCGUCCCUUACAUUUUAAAAGUUUCAAGUUGGUCCUUACGUUUUAAAAGUUUUAAGUUGGUCCCUUACGUUUUAAAAGUUUCAAGUUUGUCCAAAACGUUACUCACAUUGGAAUAAGUUAGUCCCUUCCGUCACUUAACGUUUAAAGUUUUGGGGUUGACAAUAUGGGCGAUAGAACCUUAAUUUAUUUAGAAAAUCAGUUUAAAACAUUUUUUUAAUUUUUUUUUUGGUUUUAUUAAACUCAAUAUCAUGUUGCGAAAGGGACCAACUUAUUCCAACGUGAGCAACGUUUUAAACCAACUUGAAACUUUUAAAACAUAAAGGACCAACUAAAAACUAAAAUAAACAUAAGGGAUGAAACGUGC